AAAAUAAAUGAUUUGUUUCUAUCUAGGUUUGACGCUCAAUCACAAAUGUACUAUUCAGUUGAUACAGUUUUAGAAAAAGAGGAUGCAGUCCAUUUCCCAACUGAAUUUCUUAACUCUUUAACACCUCCUGGAGUCCCACCACAUAAACUGAUUUUAAAAAUAGGGGCACCUAUUAUUUUAAUGAGAAAUUUGAGCCCACCUACACUUUGCAACGGUACAAGACUAUAAAUCAAAAAAUUGAGAAGUUCAUUACUCGAGUGCAUAAUAUUAACAGGCUGUGUUAUACCUACAAAAUGUACAUACACAAUUUACAUACAUCUGAGAAAUCUUGCAAUAGCGAAGCAUUGCCGGGUCAGCUAGUACCUUCGACCAUAUCACCACAGACGUCACAUGUGGCAGGAGGUGUUGAGAUGCAGCUUGCACAAUACCAUCCAUGGCCACAGUCCGACAGUAUGUAUUGCGCCUGGUCUGGUACAUAUUGUACAUGACGCAUACAUCCAAGACACUGACUUCCAGUUAGAUCAAGUUAACAUGCAUUAUAUAGAUGGGCUGUGUUGUGGGAAAUUCUGCUUUGCAAAUUCCGCAUUUAUCUAAUUGAGUCGCACACUCAUCACAGCACCAAAAUGUUGGCCGACUUUACUUGGCUCCAACUUUCAAGGCAAACAAAACAUCUGUCUACAGGGUCACCUUUAGAAUAAAAAGGAUAUCUAAAUCAGCUGCCUGGUGAGCUGGUUGAGUAUUUUAUUCUGAAACUAAAUGGAAAGUUAUUAAGCUAAUGUUUCAGUAUUAUAACAUUUAAAAUCAAUCUACCGUCAACAAAAGCAUCAUCUAUGAUAAGCUCAACUAUUUCAUAGACCUCUUCCUCCGCUAACGUAUCAUUGAUAUGUGGCUGUUCAACUUCAAAACAAAUUAAAUUGUAGAAUAAUUGUAUAUUACCGAGAAGAUGGCGACCUUCAAUUAAUCUAAGGUUACCACCUGGUUGUUGGCGCACAUUUGGAUGCCGGACCAU